rnacentral:ncRNA from 22 species
GGCUGGUCAUGACAUCGACAAACUUGGACUGCUGCUUGCAAAUGAUGCGGGUAAUUCGUAAUCUGUCUUCGUGGGUCAGUAGGUUGAGAUAGUUGUGCGCCAGCUCGUUACUGAGGAUGUUCGUGCCGUCAUUAAUACGCAGGAUGCAAAUCCCUACUGGCGCCGACGCCACAAUCUUGCGGUUGAAUUGCUCAUUCUCUUCCAACUGGAACGCAUUCACUUCCGCAGGCAACAGCAUUUUCCGCUCAAAUACCAAAGCCAACACAAACAGAAAAAUUGCCCAUAGAAUAUUCAGUACAAGCAUGUUAAUCAUCAAUGCGCUGAUAUGAGAGAGCAGGACUUUCAACGGCAGCGCAUACACGAUGCUGAAUGACGUCGGCGGCAGCGACUUUUUCAGAAUGAGUUCAUCAUACCCAUUCACAUAGCCAAAAUAGUUAUGAUCGGAAGGAUAACUGUCUACCGAAGACGUAUAGCGAUCUUUAGCAUCGG